rnacentral:misc_RNA from 1 species
UCUCCGUUGGUGAACCAGCGGAGGGAUCAUUACAGGACUCGCAAGACUCCUUCACCCUGUGAACCUCACUACAAGCACGUUGCUUCGGCGGGUGUCCCGGCGGGGGUUUUCCCUCGCCGGGGCGCACGGCCCGCCGGCAGCCUACUAUACUCUGUCCCUUUGCGUUGGCAUCUCGAGAAAAAACAAACAAGUUAAAACUUUCAACAACGGAUCUCUUGGUUCUG